rnacentral:misc_RNA from 1 species
GAACUGCGAUAAGUGAUGUGAAUUGCAGACGUACACGAAUCAUCGAACCCUUGAACGCAUUCUGCGCCUCGAAGCUUGUCUUCGAGGCAUAUCUGGGUGAGUGUCGGUUUAACCUCUUGCAUAAAUUAAUUUAUGCAGUGUUUGAUAGUAAAUCUUCUCGACUUUGUUUCUUGGACAUCUUCUAUCAAAAUGCAUCGACACUCCAGAUUAGAUUUUGGAUUAAUUAAAGAGUUAACCCUCUAGAUAGGUUAGAGUAACUUGUUUACUUUCUCAUUUUCUAGCAUGGGCUUGCCUCUGAUCCAAAAUUUUUAGUCGAAAGGUCUCGUUUGAAAUUGAAAAAAAUUUCUUCAACCUUCGACCUCACCCAGGUAAGACUACCCGCUGAAGUUAAGC